AAGCCUUAUACAAACCAAAAAAAAAGAGAAAUAAUUAAGCAAAAGAGAGUCACGUGACUCAAGCUAAAAGGUUUGAAGGGAACAAAGAAAAGGGAUUAUGCCUUAGAGAUCAGAAAACAGAGAAACAGGCGCACGGUAUUACGAGAGGCAACAGAAAUUUCACGAAAAAUUAUAGGGUUCUUUACAAAUCACUAAAUCUUGAACUCAGAAUCGAUUGUUUGACUGGUGUCAAUUAGAUUGAGGUCUACGUAUUGGCUCGAGAAGUUUUGAGGAAUCGGAUUUGCAGGCGAGCAGGCUACGAGUUAGGACUUCCU